CUACGGGGUGCUGCAGUGAGGAAUAUUGCACAAUGGGGGGAACCCUGAUGCAGCAACGCCGCGUGGAGGAUGACGCAUUUCGGUGUGUAAACUCCUUUUAUAUGUCAAGAAAAUGACGGUAGCAUAUGAAUAAGCGCCGGCUAACUCCGUGCCAGCAGCCGCGGUAAUACGGAGGGCGCAAGCGUUACUCGGAAUCACUGGGCGUAAAGGACGCGUAGGCGGGUUGAAAAGUCAGGUGUGAAAGCCUACAGCUUAACUGUAGAACUGCACUUGAAACUCUCAAUCUAGAGUAUGGGAGGGGCAGAUGGAAUUAGUGGUGUAGGGGUAAAAUCCGUAGAUAUCACUAGGAAUACCUAAAGCGAAGGCGAUCUGCUGGAACAUUACUGACGCUAAGGCGUGAAAGCGUGGGGAGCAAACAGGAUUAGAUACCCGAGUAGUC
rnacentral:rRNA from 1 species